CCCAAUCUCUCCUCCUCCCAACUCGCAUGACCCAUCCACCUCACGAUUUCUCCCUCCGUUGCUUUCUAUAUAAGUUGUUUUCUAGUACACAAGGAGUCCAAGAUCGAUAACAUACCCCCAAACUAUUAACUAUCUACCAUCUUCAUUCUUCAGGCGGGAUCAAAUUGGUGUGCGUCAGUGCGUGUGUGACUGUGUCUGUCUGCGGUCUGCCCUCAACAACCUAGGUGAAGAUCUAAAGACUUCCCAAGAAUUGUUAUGCAUUGGAAAAUCGAUUACAGUUGGUACCUGGCAUUUGACAGUUGAUCACCAAUCAAUAACAGUAUAAGAUGCCAGAUUUCAAUCAAAUUCCCGUUCGUUUAUCGGUGGAUUUUAUCGUUUCGUUCUUCUUUGGGUUUCCGGUGAUUUAUUUUUUUGGAUAUUGUUUGCUGUAUUGUUGUUGGUUUAGCUCUGCAGCUGCUUCUCUCUAAAACUCGUUUCUUGAUUUUUUUUUUCUGACUCGAUCUUUUACACUGUGCUUGUAUCUCUGUAUUGGGUUUCUGUCAUUCUUUUCUGUGAGAUGAUGAUUUCGUCUUAUUAUCUGGUUCUUGCCCCUUUUCUUAACCAAGGCUCGUCUCUUUCUGUCUUCUCAUCUUGUAGAAAUGUUUAAUUUAUUUCUAACGAUCUGUAUUUUUUCUUAUUCUUGAUUUAGGAUCAGUGUGACUGUUUGAAAGCUACAGAGGAGGAAUCUAGAGAGAGUUUGGAAAGAAUCCAGAAAUCAAAUAAGGUUUCUCUCAGAGUCUCAGGAAUCGAAGGUGUGUGUGCAUAGAAAACUUUGAGAAACAAAAUGCAAAAUAUUAUUAUGAAAGUCUCAAUUUGUCAUUGUCUUGUGAUCCUAUGUGUGGCUGAGUUUUUAUUUGUGUACAUUUUCUUUUCCAUUUUUCUGUUGGCAUUGUCUUUUGAGUUUUGAUCUUUUUCCAUUUUGCUGUUUCUUCUUCUUCAUCAUCAAAUGGAGAUCAAAUAAUAAAGUGGCAAACUACUAAGUGAGUCUUUGGUAUAUAGUUUUACCACCUAAUCCUCCAUAAUCAUAGAAAUAAUUUGUGAAAACCAUUUUCUCACAUUAUCAAAGAAGUGUUUUUCCCUUGAGAGUUCCCAUGCUGUUUUUUGAUGCAGUUUCCAUGUUGUUUUGAAUGAUGAGAAAUCAUCUCAUUUCAGAUCUUCAACGCAUGUUUUUAUUUCAUACAUAAUUUUAUAUAUAAAAACACUUAAACAUUAAAUUAAAUUGGUGAAACAUAUAAACUAUAAAUUCAUUUCAGCACACUAAUUUUCAAAAUCUAUUUUUUAAUCAAAUAGCUCUUCUUUUAUAGUUCUCAAAAGCCACUUAAAAUGCAUCUUUUAGUAUUUUAAAACUUAAAAUGCAUCUAUUUCAGUCAAAACUGAAAAGAUAAAAUUAAAUGACCAAACUGUAUAAUCAUUCUUACAAAUACAAUAGACCCUAAGUUAAUGUCUAUUUUUUUUUAUACAGAUGCUUCUGAAUUUUUUUAGGUUGACUAGUGACUACGCUUUCCGCUUGAGUGUUAAUUAGGGAUUUGUCAUUUCAUUUGUCGGAAGCUUAAAAAGAUCUUCUAUAACAAG
rnacentral:lncRNA from 1 species